GCCGUAAACGAUGUCGACUUGGAGGUUGUGCCCUUGAGGCGUGGCUUCCGGAGCUAACGCGUUAAGUCGACCGCCUGGGGAGUACGGCCGCAAGGUUAAAACUCAAAUGAAUUGACGGGGGCCCGCACAAGCGGUGGAGCAUGUGGUUUAAUUCGAUGCAACGCGAAGAACCUUACCUGGUCUUGACAUCCACAGAACUUUCCAGAGAUGGAUUGGUGCCUUCGGGAACUGUGAGACAGGUGCUGCAUGGCUGUCGUCAGCUCGUGUUGUGAAAUGUUGGGUUAAGUCCCGCAACGAGCGCAACCCUUAUCCUUUGUUGCCAGCGGUCCGGCCGGGAACUCAAAGGAGACUGCCAGUGAUAAACUGGAGGAAGGUGGGGAUGACGUCAAGUCAUCAUGGCCCUUACGACCAGGGCUACACACGUGCUACAAUGGCGCAUACAAAGAGAAGCGACCUCGCGAGAGCAAGCGGACCUCAUAAAGUGCGUCGUAGUCCGGAUUGGAGUCUGCAACUCGACUCCAUGAAGUCGGAAUCGCUAGUAAUCGUGGAUCAGAAUGCCA
rnacentral:rRNA from 2 species